UACGGAGGGUGCAAGCGUUAUCCGGAUUCAUUGGGUUUAAAGGGUGCGCAGGCGGAAUGAUAAGUCAGUGGUGAAAUCCUACAGCUUAACUGUAGAACUGCCAUUGAUACUGUCAUUCUUGAGUACACUUGAAGUGGGCGGAAUGUAUCAUGUAGCGGUGAAAUGCAUAGAUAUGAUACAGAACUCCGAUAGCGAAGGCAGCUCACUAAAUUGUAACUGACGCUCAGGCACGAAAGCGUGGGGAGCAAACAGGAUUAGAUACCCUAGUAGUCC
rnacentral:rRNA from 1 species